GAAAAUUAGCUCUUUAGUAUUUUUCCAGUAGGUUUCCUCUGUGAGGAAGCCCCC
rnacentral:snRNA from 1 species